rnacentral:lncRNA from 1 species
GUGAUGUUUAACAUGUUAUCACAAUUUUUAUUGUAUAAUAGUAUUACAUUUUGAAUGUUUUAUUUAGGGCAAUUGUCAAUAAUAGCACCUUUUGAAGUUUAUGUCACAAAAAUAGCACUAGAAGGAGAAAGUCACAAAAAUGAUAUUCAUUAAAUGAUAAAAUAUCUCUAAUACCCUUGGUUUAAAAUUAAAUAAACAAACAAAAAUAAAUAAAAAUAAAUAAUAUAAAAAUAAAAAAUGAAAAAAAGAAAUUUUUUUAUAGUUUCAGAUUAUAUUUUUCAGAUUCGAAAUUUUUUUUCCGAUUUUUUUUUUAUUUUUUUUUCAAAUUUUUUUUUAUAAUUUAAAAAUACUUUUUGAAACUGUUUUUAAAAUUUUUAUUUUUAUUUUAGUAUUUAUUUUUUAUAAAAUUUUAAAGGGCAAUUGUCAAUAAUAGCACCUUUUGAAGUUUAUGUCACAAAAAUAGCACUAGAAGGAGAAAGUCACAAAAAUGACAUUCAUUAAAAGGUAAAAUAUCGCUAAUACCCUUGGUUUAAAAUUAAAUAAACAAACAAAAAUAAAUAAAAAUAAUUAAAAUAAAAAUAAAAAUAAAAAAGAAAAAAAAUAAUUUUUUUUUUAUAGUUUCAGAUUAUAUGUUUU